CAACUUUCAGCAACGGAUCUCUUGGCUCUCGCAUCGAUGAAGAACGCAGCGAAAUGCGAUAAGUAAUGUGAAUUGCAGAAUUCAGUGAAUCAUCGAAUCUUUGAACGCACCUUGCGCCCUUUGGCUAUUCCGAAGGGCAUGCCUGUUUGAGUAUCAU
rnacentral:rRNA from 4 species